GACGAACGCUGGCGGCGCGCUUAACACAUGCAAGUCGAGCGAGAACCAGUCCUUCGGGGCUGGGGACAGCGGCGAACGGGUGAGUAACACGUGGGUAAUCUGCCCUCGGCACCGGAAUAGCCCGGGGAAACCCGGAUGAAUGCCGGAUGGCCUCUCUGCCCCUCGGGGCGGUGGGAAGAGGUAGCCUCGGCCUCCGGCCGCGGAUGAGCCCGCGGCCGAUUCGCUUGUUGGUGAGGUAACGGCUCACCAAGGCGACGAUCGGUAGCUGUCUGAGAGGACGAUCAGCCACGCUGGGACUGAGACACGGCCCAGACUCCUACGGGAGGCAGCAGUGGGGAAUCUUGCGCAAUGGGCGAAAGCCUGACGCAGCGACGCCGCGUGCGGGAAGAAGGCCUUCGGGUUGUAAACCGCUUUCAGGAGGGACGAAGCCACUCGGGUAAAUAGCCUAGAGGGUGACGGUACCUCCAGAAGAAGCCCCGGCUAACUACGUGCCAGCCGCCGCGGUAACAC
rnacentral:rRNA from 1 species